UCUUGCGCAAUGGGGGAAACCCUGACGCAGCGACGCCGCGUGCGGGAUGAAGGCCUUCGGGUUGUAAACCGCUUUCAGCAGGGACGAAAUUGACGGUACCUGCAGAAGAAGGCCCGGCCAACUACGUCCCAGCAGCCGCGGUAAUACGUAGGGGCCUAGCGUUGUCCGGAUUUAUUGGGCGUAAAGAGCUCGUAGGCGGUUCGGCAAGUCGGAUGUGAAAUCUCCACGCUUAACGUGGAGGGGCCAUUCGAAACUGCCGUGACUCGAGUCCGGUAGGGGAGUGUGGAAUUCCCGGUGUAGCGGUGAAAUGCGCAGAUAUCGGGAGGAACACCAGUAGCGAAGGCGGCACUCUGGGCCGGUACUGACGCUGAGGAGCGAAAGCGUGGGGAGCGAACA
rnacentral:rRNA from 1 species